AGCAACCUCUGAUGUAAAUCAACCAAUUUGCUCAACAUCAUUGAUUAUUGCAAAAAAUAUCUCCAUCUUUCGGUUGAGGUUGCA